CGGACACCGGCUCCGUAACUACAGGGGCGAAUAACCGACGAAAGACCAAGCUAAGUAUUUUUAUAUAAGAAAAAUAAAGAAGGCGUAAGAGCUCGAGGAUAACACAUCCUUCUUCUUAGAGAUGGAAGAGAUGGUAUUUUUAUAUUGAAAGACAAAUACUUUUCAAGUAGAAGUCGACUAUCUGCAAAUAUGGAUCGUAGUGUUGGGUCAAGACUGCAGAACAUGUUCCAACAACUGGAGAAGAUUGGAGGAAAGGCAGCUAAACACCAGACCGGGGAUGAUUUGCAGCAGAUACGAUAUGUGACAUGUAAAAUAUUCCAGAUAAUAACAACACAAGAGAAGAUUCUCAAAGAUUCGAUAUUAAAGAAUCAAGCACAACUAGAUCUGUUGGUGCAGACUUUAAAGAAUGCUACAGAUCGAGCUGUACUAGUUAACAUCAUCAAUAUAUGUAGUGAGCUGCUCGGCAAAACACAAGUAGGGAAGAAAGCAAGUGCCUUUGUAAGUGUGAAUGCCACCAACGUGGUGUUUCAAACACUGGUACAGGAGGCUGAAGAUAACAGCCCUUCUGAGGAAUUUAUGCUAACAUGUCAUCAUGUACUAGCCAGGGUUGGUCAAAAAGAUCGAAAGUUUGCAUUGAAGGCCAGAUUAAACAGAGCUUUGUUGGUGACCUUGAACUUGAUCAAGAACAAUAUUAUGAACUUCAGGAACCUUCUUAUCUUGUUACCAGUGUUCAAACUCUACACAAAUAACAGUGUGAAUUCCUCGUAUUUAGGGAAGCAUAACUCAAUCCCACCUAUCUGUAAGAUAGUAUUACAGUGUAGCCGUAAACAUGCUAGUGCCUUAAAGUAUGGUCUUGACAUUCUCAAUAGCUUUACUAAAUCAAGGAACAAUGCAGCACGGACUAUUGGUGGGGAGUAUGUUCCAGCAAUACUAUCACUGUAUAGUGACUGGCACCAGGCCGACACCAAACAUAGACACGUCAGCAUUAGAAAAGGAUUGCUCAACAUUCUGAAAAACAUCACAAAUUUACGUUCUGGAAGAAAAGCCCUCGUGGAAGCCAACGGGAUCCGUGUUUUGUAUGAGUGUGCCCAGGACGUGAUCGACUGCCGUGAAAUGGAAGGACUCAUUCUUCUGGCCAGUGUUAUCAUGAGGAAAUGUUGCCCUAGAAAUAAACUGCCGCUUGGAAAUAUUCGUAGUGUUGUUAAAUAUGAUUUACCAGAGUCAGAACUUUACCCUCCAGAGGGUUUCGAGCCAGGUGGAGGAAGAGCUGCUGAAGGUGGCGACAGUGACAACAGUUCACUUGAUGACGAUGAUGAUAUUGACAGCGAUGAUGAGAGAUUCAAAACAGAUAAUAUUGAAGAGAUAGAAGAUGAUCUGUGUAACACAAGUCCAGAAGCUUUUAAACGUUCUCCAGAAGAUCUGAAACAGUAUAAUCAUUUCUUUCCGGAGCUGUUUGAAAUUGACGUUCAGGAAAAUGCAGACUCUGUAGUCGUGCCUACAGCAUCUUAUGAUUGUGUGAUAGAUAGAGACUCAAAUAAGUUACGAGGUGUUUACCCCGUUUCUGUUGAAAAUCUCCAUAAAUCGGUAUCGUGUCCAUCGUCAAUGUUCAGAAUGCCAUCUACUUCAAGUGAAUAUUCCGAUAGUUCAGGAUAUUAUAGUAGUUCACGAACUGGACGUUUAACAGAGCAUUCGAGCGAUGCCGAUUUUGUUGACAAUUAUGGCCGAUCAGAGACUGCCAGUGCAAUUAAUCUCAAAACUGGUGCUAGUGUGAUUUCUUUAGACUUUCCUACAUCAAAUUCUAGCAAAUCAUCAGUAAAUUCCAAAAAGACAACAAACCAAAGAUCAAAAAAAGCCAAAGGUUCAAAACGUGGGGGAAAAGAUAAGAAACCAAAGAAAGCAACAAAAGAUUCUCAAUCUGGUCAAGACGGCAUGGCGUGUUUUAGUAACGCUCUGUGUAUAACGCCAAUUCCAACUGUUAUAGAUCCAGAUGAUGAUUAUGAUCAGAGCGUGUCGCCGUGUGACGAUGAAGAAGAUGUGUUUGAUUUGAAACCGGAUCCCUUACUGUACCAGGAAAUGGCACGGUCAACAAGAUCUGUGUAUAAGUUUGAGAAACUUGCAUAUCCAGAUUUGUGUGGUGCUAGAUCACCAUAUGAUGUAGAGCCACUGUAUCAUAGAAAGUUUGGUGUACAAAGGACGAAGGUAUUUGAGGAUAUAGAUCGUAUGAUACAUCCAGAGCUUGUUAUUGACAAGGAUACGUAUGACCUAGAUUCAAUCAAGGCAAGAAGCGGAAUGAACUAUGUGUCAGAUAAUACCAACAUUUCCAACAGGGAUGAAUUCAGGGUUGGAUCCGGAGGUAGAUAUGAACCAGGUCCAGAUUGCCUCAGAUUUUCAUCACAGUUUGAGAGUGGAAACCUUAGAAAAGCCAUAUUUGUGCGGGAAUAUGAGUAUGACCUGAUUUUGAACCCAGACAUCAACACCAACCAUCAUCAUCAAUGGUUCUAUUUUGAGGUGUCUAAUAUGAUUGCUGAUAGGCCAUACAGAUUUAACAUCGUAAAUUGUGAAAAACUCAACAGUCAGUUUAACUUUGGCAUGAAGCCUCUGUUGUUCUCAGUGAUAGAAGCUAUGGAAGGCAAUCCUUUCUGGGUUAGAACUGGCACAGACAUCUGUUACUACAGAAACCAUUUUACACGCAGCGCCCAGGCCACUGGUGGGGUCAAAGGCAAAACUUACUACACAACCACAUUCACUGUCACGUUCAAGCACAGCAAAGACGUUUGUUACAUGGCAUAUCACUACCCUUACACAUUUGCCACCUUACAGAUGCAUCUAGUCCAGUGGGAACAGAUUGUCGACUGUGAGCAGGUGUUUUUCCGUCGACAGACUCUGUGCGAGACAAUGUCAGGAAAUCCUGUAUCAGUGCUCACCAUCACUGCCAGGCCAAAGUCAGAAACUCGAGAGGGCAUUGAGGAAUUCAGAAGUAGACCGUAUAUAUUUCUGUCAGGAAGAGUUCAUCCAGGGGAAAGCAACGCAAGCUGGGUUAUGAAAGGAACGAUAGAUUUCUUGUUAAGUAGACGACAGGCUGCAUGUCGUCUGAGAGAGAUGUUCAUUUUCAAGAUUGUUCCCAUGCUCAACCCAGAUGGUGUUCUCAAUGGAAAUCAUCGGUGUUCAUUAGCUGCGGAGGAUUUGAACCGCCGGUGGGACAACCCAUGUCCCAAACUCCAUCCAACCAUCUACCAUACCAAGGGUCUCCUACAGUACCUUCAGAUGAUCAACAAAACUCCAUUGGUGUAUUGUGACUACCAUGGCCACUCCAGAAGAAAGAAUAUUUUUAUAUAUGGCUGCAGUGCGGCCAUGUCGUGGAUUGUCAAUGAUACAAAUAACCCUGGUAGUACAGGAAAUAAACUAGAAGAUAAUGGUUUUAAAACACUGCCUAGAGUUUUAGAUUGUAUAGCACCUCAGUUCUCUCUGGCCAACUGUAGUUUCCUUGUGGAGAAGACAAAAGAGGCAACAGGGCGAGUUGUAGUGUGGAGACAGAUUGGGGUGAACAGGAGUUAUACUAUGGAGAGUACAUACUGUGGGAUGGACAGAGAGGGAAAAUAUAAGGAUCAGCAUAUUUCUACAUGGCAUUUAGAAGAAAUGGGUCACAAGUUCUGCGAGGCAUUAUUACGGUUAGGUCGUGGUAGAACCUCAUAUGAGGCCAACUCAGCCAUGCCCUCGGAGACAACUUUAGAACAACUUGGUGCUUAUGGAAAUGCUCAGGAUUUCAUGGACGAUGUGCCUGCCAAUCUCCAUGCUAUUGAAGAAGAGAAAGACUAUUGUGAUCUGUUAGCUGAUGAUGACUCAUCAUCAUGUAUUGAUUCCCCUGAUGAUGAUGAUUAUGAUGAAGAUAUGUAAAUCACUGAGAAUGAUAGAUAUGUAUAGAUGGAUGAUGAAGAUGUGUAAAUCUGCUGGAAACAUAGAGACUGAUUAUUAUCAGCUAGAUAGCCGAUGAUGACAAUGAUGGGAAUAUGAAACUUCUGAUCCAUAGUCUUCAGUUCUUCAAUAUGAUGAUGAUGAUGAUGAUGAUGAUAUGUAAAUCUUCUGGAAACACAGAAUAAUUGUUAUCAACUGGAUAGCUGAUAAUGAUGAUAAUCAAAAUUUUAAAAUUUCAAAUUUGUGACUGAUUAUCUUAAGCCAGAUGAUGAUGAUGAUGAUUUAUAAAUCAGCUGUAAAUACCUGGAAGUAAAAACCCUUCGACUAGAUAUUGAAAAUGGUGAGAUGUUUACUUGGAAAGACUUUGCAAUUGAUUUUGCCUAUUUCUGUUUUUGAAAUUUCAAUUUGUUUAUGGUCUGCCACUGACAAAACUGUUAUAACUGGCAAGACAUGCCAUCUUUGUGUUAAAGUUGAUUUUUUUGUGUGGUCGGAAGUCAGCGACUGUAAGCUCUAGGGCAUAAAGGCCCCCGUUUUUGCUUUGACUGUGAUAAUUUUUGAAUCUGUGUUAUGUUUAUUUUUUUUAAGAGCUGAAAGCAAAAUUAUUAAACAUGUAUAGCAAAUAGCCAUCCAACACUUUUUGUGACUUUAUUUUUCUACAGUUUUUUUCUUUCAUUAUAUGUCAGUGGAAGUUUUUAGUCUUUUUCGUGUAUUUUGAGAGGUUGCAUACUUCUCUAGAAGUUAAUGACAUUACAUGCCUGCAUUUAUAAGACAGGGUCUUCCCUCCACUAGGGACAGCAUGGAAUAAGAAAUUGAGCGUUGGCAAAGUUUAUCAUCCAUGCUGUCCCAAUGUUUAGGGAAGCAGUUGUCAUUCACAGGCAGACACGUAAGAUCAUUUUUGUUGCUUAUCGCAUUAAACGUCAAUCUCAAUGACAAGUAGACUACGGUAUUUCCCUGCUUUAUGUAUAAACUAAUGGCAUACUUAAAUGCACAUUUCUUAGAGAGAUUUUACCGUAAGGAGAUACAUGAAUACCUAUCUGUUACACAAGAUCAGACAGUUGUAUACUUUCCUUGCUGUAUAGGCAAGAAUAUUCAAAGUAUUUGACAGAAAAUGUCUGGUGUUUUUGUGUGAGGAGAUUUUUUUGGUUAGUUUUGCACACAAAAAAAUGAACUUGAGAGUAAAGUUGGUCCCAAAUUUAUGUUUAAGGGCAUAACAGUAGUGUGCCCUUACUGCCAUAGUCCUGUGCAGAGGUUUUGAAAAAGAAUAAACUUUUUGUGAGAGUUUUAGUGUUACUGAAAUGAAAAAUAAAGUGUAUUUUAGCAGAAAAUGUUAUUUUUGUUUUCGGCAACAAUUUUAUGCCACUUACUCGACAUAUUAUUCUGAGCUGACAUGUAAUUUGAUCGAGCUGCAAGUAGAGGUCAGCGUAGAUAACUUGUGUUCUAUAGAUAGAUAAACACUUCCAUACAGCCGUUAAAAAUUACUGCUGGAUUAUCAUCCCAAUCCUUAUAAUAGAGUCAAUAUAAACAUCAUUAUGAAUUUAAAAAAUGGAAUUCUAUGGAAUAAUUUGUAUUUAUAGGGGACUAAUUUUUGUUGAUCUCGUAGUAGUAUCGAGCCACAAAAUUAAAUUCUGAUAACAUAAGUUCCAUUCAAAUUAUCUUUCAAAAUUGAAUUUUAUAAAUUUAUAUCUCCAUUUAAUAACCAUUUUGGCCAAAACCACGAAAUUUCAUGUCAAGGAAUAGGAUUUUACAGUAAUGACUUAUGUUGUGUCAGCAUGAAAAAUAGAGGACAGGCAGGGAUGAUCAUCAAGCAACUGAUUUGUGAUGGCCUGAAUUACUUCUUAUUUCAAGGAGGUACUGUUUUUUUCUGGAGAGUUUAUAGUUUGACUAUAUAAACCCCAUGUUUCUCCAUUAUUGCUUUUAAGCUGACUGUUUCCCUUUAGUUUGUCCUUGACAACAUGUAGUAUACUGUUGAUAUAGUGCACGAUCAAUGACAUUUGACAUUUUCCGUUUGAUUAUAUAUUCUCCAUAGCAUGGGCUGAGUGCAGAACUAUUGUAUGUUAUCAAUUACUGUAUAUCAAUUACUGUUUAUAAAUAAAGAACAAGAUGCAAUAGUUUUGUGCUCGUCCCUCAAUAGGGGAUUUCGGUAUUCUAUGGUUGUUAUGAAAUUGUAAUGUUGUUAUGGCCGAAGGAUGCCAAACAGCAUACAAGAAUAUGCACAGAAAUGGUAGAUUAUCGUUAGUGGUCCACUACCUUUAUGGAGAAUUAAGUGCCUUAAUUAACUGAAAGUUAAAUUAUACAGAAGUGAAAAUGUUUCUUAGUGAUGAACUUUAGAUUUAGAUAGAAAGUACUCACAGACACACGGGCAUUAUGUUUAAGUUUUCUUAACAAAUUGGUUGCAUUUUGUUAGCUUUUAUAUAAAAACAUGCAAAUAUUUGAGCUAUCACUUCAUUCACAUGAACAUAUAAUACAUCUAGCACUUACUUAAAUAUGAUGAUGACUUGUUUACUGAACAUAUACAUUGAUUUAGAAAUUGUAUGAUGCUCUUCAACACAAAUAGAUUUUACAAAAAGUUGUUUUAAAUUAGAUCUAUGUAUAGUUGUAUAUUUUAAUUCUUUUUGUAUACUGUGAAAUCAGUUAAUUUCAUGGGCUCGAAAUUUCUUAGUUUUGGCCAGAUCGGUCAUUUCAUGGGAUAUGAUUUUAUGGAUUUAAACUUUUGAUUAUAAAUUGAAAGGGAAUUUUACUUGUGCAUUGGGAUUUAAUUUUGUGGAUUAACUCAACCAUGAAAAUCCACAAAAAGUAGUCCCCCACAAAUAUUAAUGUUUUCACAGUAAUACAGGCAUACCAUGAACAUUUUUAAUGGUUAGCACUCUCACGUCUUUGAGGAAUAAAGAAUGCCAUGUGUAGAAGAUAUAGUAAACUGGUUUAUUUAUUUGAUUUUUUUUAAUGUGUGCAAGGUCCAGCAUUUUUGGUUCAGCAGGAAAUGGACUUUUUAUGCAGAGUAGUAUGAUGUGAUAGUUCAACAUACUUAAAAUGUCUCUCAGUGGGAAAUGUAGAUGUCUUGAGUUUAUUAGAUUACACUAAAAUCCAGAAAAUAAGCAAAAUGGGGUAUACAUGUUCAGAGUUUGCUAAAUUGCAAACAGGAAGUCAGCAGUAUGUUUACUUUUACCUGUACAUAUUUCAGCUUUAUUACAAAAUAUUGCAGUUACUGAACUUUUUAAUGUGGCGACACCCACAAAACUGACAUUAUAAGUGACAUCAUGCAUCGGAUAUGAAGUUUGAACAUCAGUAUGGAAAAAAUACCAUUUCUGAAGUUUCAUUGUAACUUAUUGAAUUUAGAAAGAAGUAUGUAAUAAUAAAUAUUCCAGGCAAAUUUUUAAAACUGUUAUAUUUUCUAGUCAUUUUCUACACCCUUAGACAACUUGCUUUAUGGCUAGUCUAAUAUUGCCAGUGUUAUAUAGGCAGAAAAAUGGAUUUAUUUCUUAGUAAAUUUAGGUACUUAGGUAGUUUUAUGAAUUGUUUAAACCCUGCCAAGUAAUGUCAUAAUUUAUUGAAGAAUUUAUUAGAAGUCAAUGGUGCAUGCUUUGAGAUGAGCAUCAAAAUCUUUAAAAUUGCCCUGUUUCUUAUAGGAAACUUGUUUAUAAAUUAUAAUGAUAAUAGUCAUUUGCUAUGCACAGUUAUGUAAAAGAUGUACAUAACCCGUGACUGAAGCCAUGUGGGAGGAAGUGAUGGGGGCCAGGAAGGGAGAAUGAUACUGGAUCCUAUUGUCUUAUUUCGAGCAACCUUGUUUUCUGUUAAAGUAACCAGCUAAUGUUUUUUUUCAAAUUUAAGGUCUUACUGUAUUUCAGAAAAUUUUAAAGUACCAUAAGGCUUUUAAUUUUAAGUUAAAAACAGAUAAACUAGCUGUCCAAAUAGAAUGUUAUGCAUAAUUACAUGGUUAAAAAAGCUCUACAUUCGAUUUUGCACAUGAACUUAAAAUAGUUAGAGCCAUAAAGGGAGGUAAUCAAAAUCAACGAAAUUGAUAGGUUUUUCUACUGUAUUAAUUAAUAUUGAAUUUGUUGACAAAUAUUUGAUAAAACAAUUCUUGAAAGAAAUUAAUGUAGUGUUUGUUUAUAACAAAGAAUGUGGCAAGUCAUAUAAACAAAUGCAAUAUGGGCCUUUAAGGUAUUUUUGCCAGAUAUGUAUGCGUGUUACAUAUACUUCAUAAUGUUGGCAUAAAUGUUAGACAUAACAUUUAAAUAUUUAUAGGUAUGGCAGACUACUAAUGUUGGAAGAACUUAGGCCUAACCAACUUGCAUUUGCUGUUUUAAAACGAUUGUUUUCAUUUUACUGUAAAUACAUGUACAUGUAUGAGUAGUAAAAUAUAAUUGAACUAAACUUCCUAAAUUUCAUAUUUCUUGAGGCAUGCCCCUGUUAUGCAUUGUGACUUUAGGAACAAGUACUCAGGAAAGUUGCAAAAUUCAUAUCUGUUUUGAAAUGUAAAUUCAGUUCUUUGUCUUUAAACAAAAAUUACCAAUUUUAUUUUGUUUUAAAUACUACACAAAGUUUAAGUAUGUUAAAUUUGAUUUCUUUUCACAUUUCAUGGACAUGCUCAUUUAUGAUAUCAGAAAUUAUGUACAGAAUGUUUUAAUAUGUACUUAUUCUCUGUUCUGGGACUUGUAUAUAAGGUUGUGUUUUUAUUAUAUAUUUUAUUUUUUACUAUUUGACAUAGAUAAAAAAGGGAGACAAUUAUCACAAAUAUUUUAGAAUAGGCGUGGUUCCAUAUUUAUCAAUGUUUUGUUAAUUGAAUUAAUAAUUUGUUAUACAUGUAUUAUAAACUGUGAAAUUUUAAGAACUUCAAAGAUGAAUUUCUUUAAUUUUAGUCUAAGAUAAGAAUUUUACAUUUAAAAAAAUGGUGAAUAUGAGACUUGUACUUCUAAGACUGAAACUAGGUAUUUUUUUACAAUUAUUCUCUUUUUAGUGAGGUUGGCUAAGAUAAGCAUUUUACAUUCAGAAUAUUGAUAGAUAUGACACUUGUACUGUUAAGCCUGAAAAUAAGUAAAUGUUAUGCAAUUAUUGUCUUUUAAAUGAGGUUGAUAAGCCUUUUGUGGAUAUCACUCUUUUCCAGGUCAAUAUUACUCAUAAAAGAAAACUGAUCUGAGUCAAACAAAAUAGAUUUUAAUGUAAUUGUCUAGAAUUGUACCAUGACAAAAUCCUCCGUAGUACAGAAUUGUACUGAUGAUAAUUAUAGAUUUUUACAGAUAAAAAAGUUUUCAAAAUUUUAAUUGGCUUAAGCUUUGUCUGUCUUGUUUUUUUUUUCAUGAAUUAUCAAAGUUGUAAGAGUAUCAAAUUUUUUUAAGGAUUGACAUAAAAAUGCUUUUAUUGUGAAUUGAAAAGAAUUUUUAAUGUACAUUUUGCAAUUUACAUGUGCUAAGAUAUAUGCUAUUUAGGAUUGUUAAUAGAAUUUCCGAACAUGAGAAAUAGCAAGACGUUUAAAGUACUUCACAGACUAUAGUGUUAAUUGAUAUUUACUUCUUAACACAUGAUCAACGUAAAAGUAGUGAAAACCGAAUUGGAAUAGCAAAAUAUAAUUAGUAAACAAAAUGUUUAAGAAAUUGUCUUUUUAUGCCCCUGAAGGUGGGCAUAUUAAAAUCGCACUGUCCGUCCGUCCGUGCAUCUGGUAAAUUCUUGUCUGGGCUGUAACUCUUCCAUCCUUGA
rnacentral:misc_RNA from 1 species